GGCGCAGCCCUGUGCUGUGGGACAGGCACUUGCUCACACUGCCUGGGCCCUGGGUCCAGGCUGCCUGGGUCUCUGGCCAGCAGUGUGACCUUGGGGAGGCU
rnacentral:pre_miRNA from 12 species